GUAGUUAUUUUGUACAACGCAAUUACAUUAAUAACACGAGUUUACAUAAAUAAAUAUAGUGGGGACAAUUAAUAUAAAUUGCCAUUUAAAUUAUUACUAAUCCAUAAAGUAAUUGGUCAAAGUAUCGAUAGCUUCUGAAUAAAUUGUAGCAGAAGAUUUACUCAACUACUAUAAGAAAUGUUCAACAUGAAGAUAUUUUUAUUGGCAGUUUUGGUAGUGGCUUUGUUUGCUGCCGAAACUUCUGCUGUAUGCGUUGGUCGAGGCAGUCCGUGCUUGACAACUAGUGGAAAUUGUUGUGAAGGUUGGUGUGAUCCUAUAAUAGGUACAAUGGGGACAUGUAUGAAAUAAAUUACCUUGAAUUAACGUUGAAUUCACUUUUGACAAAGUUUAUAUCUAUCCAUUUUUUUCAUAUGUAUAAGAAAACAAGUACGACUAUUUUUCUGUGGAAUUUCUGCGGUUUUAUUUAUAAAUAUUUGUAAACUUUGUCCAACGAAAUUUAAAAAUAUGUUCUAUGUAUAUUAAUACCAUUUGCUGACUAAAAAUUUCAAAAUUUUAUUUGAAAAUAAAAAAUUAAAAAAAUCUACGGCAUAACAAAUUUGUAUUACAAGCGUCUGAAUGUUUUUCAUUCUAAAAAUUUAUUAAACUUAUGUCUUUGAAGA